CAGUCGAACGGUAGCACAGAGAGCUUGCUCUCGGGUGACGAGUGGCCGACGGGUGAGUAAUGUCUGGGAAACUGCCUGAUGGAGGGGGAUAACUACUGGAAACGGUAGCUAAUACCGCAUAACGUCUUCGGACCAAAGAGGGGGACCUUCGGGCCUCUUGCCAUCGGAUGUGCCCAGAUGGGAUUAGCUAGUUGGUGGGGUAACGGCUCACCAAGGCGACGAUCCCUAGCUGGUCUGAGAGGAUGACCAGCCACACUGGAACUGAGACACGGUCCAGACUCCUACGGGAGGCAGCAGUGGGGAAUAUUGCACAAUGGGCGCAAGCCUGAUGCAGCCAUGCCGCGUGUAUGAAGAAGGCCUUCGGGUUGUAAAGUACUUUCAGCGGGGAGGAAGGGAGAAUGGUUAAUAACCAUUUUCAUUGACGUUACCCGCAGAAGAAGCACCGGCUAACUCCGUGCCAGCAGCCGCGGUAAUACGGAGGGUGCAAGCGUUAAUCGGAAUUACUGGGCGUAAAGCGCACGCAGGCGGUCUGUCAAGUCGGAUGUGAAAUCCCCGGGCUCAACCCGGGAACUGCAUUCGAAACUGGCAGACUGGAGUCUUGUAGAGGGGGGUAGAAUUCCAGGUGUAGCGGUGAAAUGCGUAGAGAUCUGGAGGAAUACCGGUGGCGAAAGCGGCCCCCUGGACAAAGACUGACGCUCAG
rnacentral:rRNA from 1 species